CCUACGGGAGGCAGCAGUGGGGAAUAUUGGACAAUGGGGGCAACCCUGAUCCAGCCAUGCCGCGUGUGUGAAGAAGGCCCUCGGGUUGUAAAGCACUUUCAGUGAGGAAGAACGCCUGGUGGUUAAUACCCAUCAGGAAAGACAUCACUCACAGAAGAAGCACCGGCUAACUCCGUGCCAGCAGCCGCGGUAAUACGGAGGGUGCGAGCGUUAAUCGGAAUUACUGGGCGUAAAGCGCGCGUAGGUGGCUUGAUAAGCCGGUUGUGAAAGCCCCGGGCUCAACCUGGGAACGGCAUCCGGAACUGUCAAGCUAGAGUGCAGGAGAGGAAGGUAGAAUUCCCGGUGUAGCGGUGAAAUGCGUAGAGAUCGGGAGGAAUACCAGUGGCGAAGGCGGCCUUCUGGACUGACACUGACACUGAGGUGCGAAAGCGUGGGUAGCAAACAGGAUUACAUACCCCAGUAGUC
rnacentral:rRNA from 1 species